GAGGAGGCUCUGCUGAGGCUGCUGCCAGUGGUCAAAGCCUCCAACAAAGCUCUACUGAGCAGCUGUAACCUCUCAGAGGAGGGCUGUGAAGAUCUGCUGUCAGUUCUCAGCUCCCAGUCCUGUAGUCUGAGAGAGCUGGACCUGAGUACCAACAGCCUGCAGGACUCAGGAGUGAAGAAGCUGUCUGCUGCAGUGGAAAGUUCACACUGCAAACUGAACACUCUCAGACUGAGUAUCUGUAACCUCCCAGAAAAAAGCUGUGAAGCUCUGUCCUCAGUCCUCAGCUCCCAGACCUCUAGUCUGAGAGAGCUGGACCUGAGUAUCAACAACCUGCAGGAUUUAGGACUGAAGCUUCUGUCUUCUGGACUGCAGAGUCUCACUUAUAAACUGAAUAUUUUGAGAUUGAAUGGCUGUAACCUCUCAGAGAGAAGCUGUGAAGUUCUGUCCUCAGUCCUCAGCUUCCAGUCCUCUAGUCUGAGAGAGCUCGACCUGAGUAUCAAC